AGUGAACGCUGGCGGCGUGCCUAAUACAUGCAAGUCGAACGGAGUGGCGCACGGGUGAGUAAUAUAUAGCUAAUCUGCCCCUUGCUGGAGGACAACAGUUAGAAAUGACUGCUAAUACCCCAUAGCAAGGGAUGGGACUAUAUCGUAUCAGCUAGUCGGUGGGGUAACGGCCUACCGAGGCGAUGACUCGUAACUGGUCUGAGAGGAUGAUCAGUCACAUUGGAACGGAGACACGGUCCGAACUCCUACGGGAGGCAGCAGUAGGGAAUAGUGCGCAAUGGGGGAGUCCCUGACGCAGCAACGCGGCGUGGAGGAUGACACUUUGCGGAGCGUAAACUCCGUUUGUUAGGGAAGCGGUACCUAACGAAUAAGCACCGGCUAACUCCGUGCCAGCAGCCGCGGUAAUUC
rnacentral:rRNA from 1 species